CUAAGGCUUCAGCAGGCUGAAUAUUUCUCCCAGAUGGUGCUUUGCCCUCUGCCAUUAGAAUUAGCUUUGGGUACAAGAACCAGGCAUCCUCAGCAACAAAACAGAGGGAUGAAACAUGGAAGCCAAAGACUCUGCCAGCUGGAUGGCCACCGUGCUCACUAAAUACAUGCAGGUGGAGAAAUGAGCUUGGCCCUCUGAGAUGGGCACCAGUCACAAAGAAACCCAGAGCCUGGCAACAAUAUGGGAAACGGAUAUGAUACUGGACAUAAACUCUCCUCGGUUGCCACUAAUUUAUUGGGUUCACAGCCAUCAUUCAUGGGAAAGGAAUACAACUUGAAAGUUGCUGGCUGGUAACAAGUAUCUUGCAUCAUUUUCAACAUUAACAAAGAAAGCCUGUUUUUCCCACACUGAGGACAUCUCCAUUCUUCUGGUUCUGUCACCCCUGGGAAGGAAAUCUGAUGUACCUUGACUGUUUUAUAACAAAAUAUCCUGGAGAAAUGAGACACUGUCAGCAGAAGCAUGAAAAAACUACGGGGAUAAAAAUUAGCCAGAGAUGA